AUACGGAGGAUCCGAGCGUUAUCCGGAUUUAUUGGGUUUAAAGGGAGCGUAGGUGGACAGUUAAGUCAGUUGUGAAAGUUUGCGGCUCAACCGUAAAAUUGCAGUUGAUACUGGCUGUCUUGAGUACAGUAGAGGAGGGCGGAAUUCGUGGGGUAGCGGUGAAAUGCUUAGGUAUCACGAAGAACUCCGAUUGCGAAGGCAGCUCACUGGACUGCAACUGACACUGAUGCUCGAAAGUGUGGGUAUCAAACAGGAUUAGAUACCCUGGUAGUCCACACAGUAAACGAUGAAUACUCGCUGUUUGCGAUAUACAGUAAGCGGCCAAGCGAAAGCAUUAAGUAUUCCACCUGGGGAGUACGCCGGCAACGGUGAAACUUAAAGGAAUUGGCGGGG
rnacentral:rRNA from 1 species